AUAACUGAUAAUAACAACAACAACAAAAAAGAAAAACAAAAAGUGAAAAAGGGAGAUCUCCCUGUUCGGUCACGCAACGAUGUUCUUCACAGAGGGCAGGCAGAUCUCCCUAUUUGGUUGGCUAGUUGUUAAACGUCACUCUGUUGGAUUCUCAUAAUAAACUCUGUCAGUAUAUCUAAAGUAUGUUUUUUGGCUUUAAACUUACGCGAAAUCAUUCGAACGAUCAGUGAUUUCUUAAUUACACCACUCGCUGUGUCUUCGACGUGACAAGUGCAUACGUGUCACAUUUAUAUUACAAGAGUCGAGUUAUCUCAUUAAAAGGACUUCUCUUUGUUUUGCGAAACGCGUCGUUUCGUGACGUAUUCGUUUCAUUAUUUACAUUUGGUAAUGUCUUGUUGGUGUUGCUUUGUAGGGCUGUUGGACACGGUAUAUAUCCCGUCGUCGUUCCGGUAAUAAAGUUGGAAAUCUCUGGGUUUGAGGAGCAAACGCUGUGCCACUAGAAGCACCGGCUUCUCUAAUCCUCGCCUCGGCUUGUUCAAGAGGCAAAGAAGACGAAGAAGCGGCGUUGCUGGCAAGGGUUUUUCUCAAAAAGCCGUCUAAGAUGAAGAGGAUCGCUUGGAAUAUUCACCGAUAUUGCCGUCACUGGUAUAACACCGUCUUUCUCCGUUUUCCAGCGUCGUGGAAUAAUUUUCAAAAUACAAUGAGCAUCUUGGAUGAAGAAUAAACCAGCAAACCAUAAACCAUAGACCAAAUAGACCAUCAAACGAAUGCGAUUUUACCUUUUUAUUUUGUUCUUUUGUGUUUGAUCGAGAGGAUCGCCGGCGUUCGAAAGAACGAAACUUUCGAUAAAUUGCAUUCGAUUUAGAUGCGACGUACGAUGUGACGUUUGAAAUGUUCUUUGAGCACUGCGAGUUUUCGGGACAUUUCAAGGCAGAAACGCGGCAGCUGAUUGGUCAUUGAUUAGAGGCUCGGCACACGCGGUGUAACCUUGAAAAAAGGAGAAAAACGACUAGUUCGUUCGACUGCAAGCGAUGCAAUCGCCAUCGUAAGAUGUAAAACGGACGGGGCAUGAAAAAUCGUCGCGUGGAAGGUCUAUCGAUCUGCAAAGUACCACGAAAGAAUUCCGGGUCGCUCGAAAAUCCGACCGGACGUCAUCGAAAACGGCCGAUGUGACUGCAGCUUUCGGAAAAAUUCCUAACCGGAAAUGCGAAAUGCAGCGCACGAGCAUGAAACUGGAAGGAAGAAAUAAUACGCGGUUCUUCAGGCUGUAUGCAGCAGCCGAGGGGGAAAUGAGGUAAAUUCCUCGAGGGGAAUACGCAAUCGCGAGAACCGUGCGAACUCCACGAGUAUUGUAGUCGUCGCCGUGCAACCUGCAACGUUUAAAUGUGUCGUUAACGCGCUCGUGCACGAACGCGGUUCGCCUCUUUUCGAAGGUCAUUGUUUGCCGACGCGGCAACGGAACGAAAGUUUCAAAAGCUAGAGCCAUCGAAACGUCGAACGCGAUAUUUAUCGCGAACUGGAGAUCGUAACGUAGUAACGUUAUGCGAGCGAAUUUCUCGGCACGAGAUUUAAAGGCUCGCAGUGUCGUGUUUCGCGGAGUACAGCGUAACGACUACGGCCAAUUUAGCAGCGCUGUUUCGAAGCCAACAGCGAGGAAUCCGAGACAGGCGCACGUUCGUGAAAAUAUGGUUAUAGCUGGGAAAAGUUGAGCGCGUACGGUCGAACAAUACGCGCGCUAAAGUUGGAAAAUGCAAGUGGAACGACACGCGACGCCCAGCACAAUGACGUUGGUAAAGACGAUCGUGUCGUCCAGCUUUUCCUUGCUGCAUCGCGCAAAACAUCAUAUAUAUGUCGAGUUAUCGUUAAGUUUAGGGGCGUGUAACGAAUCUUCAUUCAGACUAGCCAUCGUUGUUGUAUAAUAGAAAUUACAUUUACUGGUAUAAAUACGAUUUUUACAGAGUUUGACAAAUAACCGUGAUGAUUACACAUUCGAGAUGUUAAUGACAAUAAUCUUAGGUUCAAUAACGAAUCCACAGUCAACGGGGUAACUCUUUGUUAAACGUAGAAUAUAUUUUGAAGCACAUAGUAACGCUCGGUAUAUACUGCACGUAAAGACGAUGUGUAACUCUCCAAGGAGAUCGCAAGAAUAAAAGAUUGAUGACUUUCCUCUCCUUACGAUCGCGUUCGUUUCUAGUAUAUUGGUCGGGGAUACCAACAAAAUUCUUGGCAUAAAAAAUAUUGGCACUUCUCUGUUAGGUAAAAACGUCCAUCCCGUGACGGUGGCUACGUUCAGCGACCAGUUGUGUCACCUCGAGCCCAAACCCACUGUCACAAAUCUCGGGCAUAAUACAUAUAAUAUAAUACAUAUGUAGUAACUAAAAUGGGUUUUAGAGGAAAGGACAAGUAAUGAUGUUACAUGUAUCUAAUUGUUUUGAAAGAUACCAUACAGUUGAAGACUACUAAUUUUCAUUAAAUUAACUAAGUAUUAAUUUACAAAUUGCUAGUGAUUCAUUAUCCAUUUUGAAAUAAUAAAUAGUUUUUGUUAACCGAUCAAUUGAUCAUGAUUACGUCCUAGACGUCUUAAAAACGCUAUUUAUCUUCAAACGUUGUUUAUUAUUUCACAAUUCUUUUUGUAGUCUCUAAAUAUACAUGUCAUAAGAAGUAUACAUCUUGCGCCAGUUCGGGCACACGACCGAAUAGAUGGCACGGCGCGCGAUCGAACUUCUUGCUUACUAUGGCUCGCACGAUCGACAGAUGGCGUGUAGGGUUAAAUAAUAAAACUUAGAAGUAGUUGUUUAUCAUUUAAUCCGAUUAUGUGUGCUCGAGAUUUAUGACAGUAGGCUUGGACUCGAAGCGACACAUCUGGUCGCUAAACGUAGCCACGGUCACGAGAUGGACGUUUUUGCCAGAAAGAGGUACGACGUAGUUGUAUAGCUCUCCUGAGAAAGAUAGUUCAGUUUUGAUUUCGACUUUGGACAAAUUUGUGACAGUAAGCUUGGGCUCGAGGUGACACAACUGGUCGCUGAACGUAGCCACCGUCACGGGAUGGACGUUUUUACCUAACAGAGAAGUGCCAAUAUUAUGGGACACACGUUGUAUUAACAAUCAAACCCCGGGCAGAAACAACGUCGUAACUACGCGGGACUGCUUAGCAACGGCGGCUGGAAUUUUGUUGGUAUCCCCGACCAAUAUACUAGAAACGAACGCGAUCGUAAGGAGAGGAAAGUCAUCAAUCUUUUAUUCUUGCGAUCUCCUUGGAGGGUUACACAUCGUCUUUACGUGCAGUAUAUACCGAGCGUCACAGCGAACGUUACUUUGUGCUUC